GACGUAGGGCGCGAGCGUUGUCCGGAUUUAUUGGGCGUAAAGCGCGCGCAGGCGGGAAGAUAAGUCUGGAGUGAAAUUCCGGGGCUCAACUCCGGAGCUGCUUUGGAUACUGUCUUUCUAGGGACCGGUAGAGGCCGGUGGAAUUCCCGGUGUAGCGGUGGAAUGCGUAGAGAUCGGGAAGAACACCCGUGGCGAAGGCGGCCGGCUGGGCCAACACUGACGCUCAGGCACGAAAGCGUGGGGAGCAAACAGG
rnacentral:rRNA from 1 species